GACGAACGCUGGCGGCGUGCUUAACACAUGCAAGUCGAACGGACAGGCCCUGCUUGCGGUGUACUCGUGUGGCGAACGGGUGAGUAAGUAGUGGGUGAUUUGCCUUGCACUUCGGGUUAAGCAUGGGAAACUGGGUCUAAUACCGGCUAUGACCUUCUUUGUAGUGCGGGGGGUGGAAAGAUUUAUCGGUGUGGGAUGAGCUGGUGGCUUAUUCGCUAGUUGGUGGGGUAAUGGCUUACCAAGGCGUUGACGGGUAGACGGCCUGAGAGGGUGGACGGCCACAUUGGUACUAAGAUACGGCCCAGACUCCUACGGUAGGCAACAGUGGGGAAUAUUGCACAAUGGGCGGAAGCCUUAUACAGCGACGCCGCGUGGGGAAUGACGUCCUUCGGGUUGUAAACCUCUUUCGACAGAAACGAAGCUUCGGUGACGGUACCUAUAUAAGAAGCACCGGCUAACUACGUG
rnacentral:rRNA from 1 species